UACGUAGGGUGCGAGCGUUAAUCGGAAUUACUGGGCGUAAAGCGUGCGCAGGCGGUUUUGUAAGCCAGAUGUGAAAUCCCCGGGCUCGACCUGGGAAUGGCAUUUGGGACUGCAAGGCUUGAGUGCGGCAGAGGAGACUGGAAUUCCUGGUGUAGCAGUGAAAUGCGUAGAUAUCAGGAGGAAUACCGAUGGCGAAGGCAGGUCUCUGGGCUGACACUGACGCUCAUGCACGAAAGCGUGGGGAGCAAACAGG
rnacentral:rRNA from 1 species